UAAAAAUAUUCAUUUUUGACUAGAAUAAAUACAAAAUAUUUUUUCAACUUAAAUUUAUUUAAUACUCAAAUAGCAGAAAAGAGAAACAUAUAAACAGAUGUGUAAAAACCUUAACAGCAUAUCGUUCCCAUUGUUUAUUAAUAACUGAGUACCAGUAGUAUGACUUGGCGGACUACAGGACAAAGACAGUUCUAGCUCCAAGGAAUUUUCAGUCUUAGGAUGUGAUCCUUGAAACUCUUACGCAUUUAACAUUUCUCUUUUAAGUGUUAUUCACGUAAGGGUUUGUAGAAUCAGGCCCUUAUAGGGAAACAGACAAUAAUGUCAAACUCCAUUGAUGUAAUAUAUGUAAGGUAGAAACUGUCAAGGAAUUCAAGUCAAUUGUCUGGUUGCAGAAAAAUAGAGAGAACAAGACAGUCCAGCUAUCAGACAUGAGAAACAAAAGCAGCAUGUAUUACAUAGCUUAUGGUUAAUAAACUGACAAUCCCAAAAUCCAUACAGAACUGAAAUUAAUUUAUAUUGUGCAGAAGAAAAACCCUAGUCAAGACCCAGAGAUACUUUUGCUGGAGAGUCCAGACAAACUACUAAUGAUUAUUCAUUAUUAAGUUUUUACUUUUGCUAUAAAUUGUUUAUACUUGUUUAUUUAAUUAGCUUUAUAUUAGAUCAAGGCAAUAACUGUUCUAGUUAGUUCCUUGUCUCAAAUUAUUAUUUUUCUUGAAUAAGCUAGUUAUUUCACCAUACCACCACAAAGUACUUAUCAUAUCACAUCUCUCCAGAAAAAUAUCUUGUGCUUGUCUUAUUUGUGCAGUAAUAAACUCCAUGUCUUGGAUCUCAUGCAGUUUCUUUAACCAUAUAUUAGUGGAUUUUCCCUUUGAACGCCAAAGUAGCAUUAUACAUUUCCAUGCUGUGGUAGUUAAUAUCCUGAACAUGGAUCUUUCUUUGUGGCUGACCACUGUUGCAGGUGUCUCCCCUAAAAUAUAACAAAUUGGAUUUUUGUCAAACUGAAUAUUAAUAUAUAUUUCAUGUUGUGUGUGUCCACAAGUUUGUGUCUUAUUAUAUCCUCAAAAUAUAGGAAAGAUGUCCAUUACAACAUCUCCAGCAGAGAUGAGAAAUGUAACAGAAUAGCUUUUUUGAUCAUUACAAGGGUAUAAAAAUUAAGUGCUACAAUUAAUUUCCACAGCAAUCGCCUUGUGGAUGGGGAAGUAAUGAUACCAGCUUCUUUAAAAAACACAUUUUUAAUGUUUAGAUUUUUACAUACUGGGUUUAUAAAAAAGGACAAAAUGGGAAAACUGAAAAAAUUGAACACAAUAUUUUCUUCUGUGAUCAACUGGAGUUUCUAACCACAGGUUUUUUUUUAUUACAGAGGUAUUGUUCUCAGUCUCUCAGAGAUAAAUGCCUGUGUAGUUGGACAUUUUUUCUUGCCUAAUGAGAUUAUCAACCUUUUCAUUCAUGUACUGAAAACAAGUUGUGUUCAGGUCAGGUAUGGUAAAGAAGUAGUGCCCCACCGAUAGAUAGAGCAGAAAUCUCAGCUAAAAUCUCUGGAGAACAGCUUCUCUCCCAUCAACUGUAGAUUCCAUUUUAACAGUAACGCUGUUCCUUAGGAGCUGGAAAACUAUUCAAGUUAUCAGACAGGUCCACAGAGUGGGAGAAGGCAAAAGCCAUACUUUUGGGGUUAUUAUCUUUCUCCCACCCUCCUCGGACCAAACGAAUAUUUAUUUAUAUAAAGCGAAACAGCUCAAACAGGAGAAAUUGAUCCUGAGCAGAGGCUUGA